GAUGAACGCUGGCGGCGUGCCUAAUACAUGCAAGUCGAGCGAAUGGAUUAAGAGCUUGCUCUUAUGAAGUUAGCGGCGGACGGGUGAGUAACACGUGGGUAACCUGCCCAUAAGACUGGGAUAACUCCGGGAAACCGGGGCUAAUACCGGAUAACAUUUUGAACCGCAUGGUUCGAAAUUGAAAGGCGGCUUCGGCUGUCAUUUAUGGAUGGACCCGCGUCGCAUUAGCUAGUUGGCGAGGUAACGGCUCACCAAGGCAACGAUGCGUAGCCGACCUGAGAGGGUGAUCGGCCACACUGGGACUGAGACACGGCCCAGACUCCUACGGGAGGUAGCAGUAGGGAAUCUUCCGCAAUGGACGAAAGUCUGACGGAGCAACGCCGCGUGAGUGAUGAAGGCUUUCGGGUCGUAAAACUCUGUUGUUAGGGAAGAACAAGUGCUAGUUGAAUAAGCUGGCACCUUGACGGUACCUAACCAGAAAGCCACGGCUAACUACGUGCCAGCCGCCGCUGUAACAC
rnacentral:rRNA from 1 species